rnacentral:rRNA from 1 species
GUGAACGCUAGCGGUAGGCCUAACACAUGCCAGUCGAACGGCAGCACCGUAAGAGCUUGCUCUUACGGGUGGCGAGUGGCGGACGGGUGAGGAAUACAUCGGAAUCUACUUUUUCGUGGGGGAUAACGUAGGGAAACUUACGCUAAUACCGCAUACGACCUACGGGUGAAAGCAGGGGAUCUUCGGACCUUGCGCGAUUGAAUGAGCCGAUGUCGGAUUAGCUAGUUGGCGGGGUAAAGGCCCACCAAGGCGACGAUCCGUAGCUGGUCUGAGAGGAUGAUCAGCCACACUGGAACUGAGACACGGUCCAGACUCCUACGGGAGGCAGCAGUGGGGAAUAUUGGACAAUGGGCGCAAGCCUGAUCCAGCCAUACCGCGUGGGUGAAGAAGGCCUUCGGGUUGUAAAGCCCUUUUGUUGGGAAAGAAAAGCAGCAGGUUAAUACCCCGCUGUUCUGACGGUACCCAAAGAAUAAGCACCGGCUAACUUCGUG